AUAAUUCCUCUUUUCUUUCCUCAAAUAUAGCUCGUAUAUCUUCUUCCAAGCAACACUCACAUGCAAUCGUAUAUCUCUUUAUUCUAUUUCUACUAAAGGGAUUAUCUGAAUCUGGUACUGUAAUAAGCUUUUUACCUACCAUUUGUCUAUUUAGCCUCACUCCAUGUAAAUUAUUAACUUUCUCCCAACAAUCUUCACUAGACAAUACUUGUGCGAUAAAAUUCUGCCCUAUUUCAAUACUUCUCUGAUGUAAAUUCCAAUGCGCAUAGCACCAGUGUUCUAUUUGAAGGAGCUUAGAUGCCCUAUAAGGAUCAUCCUCCUUAAUAAAUGAAAAUAAAAUUUCUGGAAUAUCUGAACGUGAUAUAAACAUAGGGACUACCU